rnacentral:rRNA from 1 species
GAUGAACGCUGGCGGCGUGCCUAAUACAUGCAAGUCGAGCGAACAGAUAAGGAGCUUGCUCCUUUGACGUUAGCGGCGGACGGGUGAGUAACACGUGGGUAACCUACCUAUAAGACUGGGAUAACUUCGGGAAACCGGAGCUAAUACCGGAUAACAUUUGGAACCGCAUGGUUCUAAAGUGAAAGAUGGUUUUGCUAUCACUUAUAGAUGGACCCGCGCCGUAUUAGCUAGUUGGUAAGGUAACGGCUUACCAAGGCGACGAUACGUAGCCGACCUGAGAGGGUGAUCGGCCACACUGGAACUGAGACACGGUCCAGACUCCUACGGGAGGCAGCAGUAGGGAAUCUUCCGCAAUGGGCGAAAGCCUGACGGAGCAACGCCGCGUGAGUGAUGAAGGGUUUCGGAUCGUAAAACUCUGUUAUUAGGGAAGAACAAAUGUGUAAGUAACUAUGCACGUCUUGACGGUACCUAAUCAGAAAGCCACGGCUAACUACGUG